CCAUUUCCAUUCUUGUUCAAGAUAAAGUAGUAGCUCGUCAUAAAAGCUUGGUAACCAGUUGGAGAAUGAAAUUGUAGGCGAUGACUGAAAAUCACCACCAGUUGACAUCGUCUCCAUUUCACUCUUCUCAUUUGCAGACUUACUAGCAUGUUCUCUUGACUCUAAGUCUUCCCAAAGCUUCUUUAUUGGUUUCAAAUGUACCUUCGAAUACUGUGAUUCCAAAGACUUAAACCUUCCAAUUCUAAUGAGAACUCCACGCAAAUCUUGAGCAGCGUCAAUCUAAACAAUAACAACAAUAAGAGCUCAGACAAGGGAUUAAAUUCAAAUCACAGGAUGUAAGUGCGUGGUAUCCAAAGUAUAUGUAACCUUGCGAUUGGAUAAUGCAUCGGUAAGUGGAGGCUGCACCAUUGUGUCCAGCCUAUCCUCCAAGACUUCAAGCUGCUUUCUUAUGUUGGCAAAUUCAGCAACCUGAACAAAGAAAGCGAGCAAAGGCAAGAACAAUUGUAAAUACAAAAAGUAAAUGUACCAAACUUCAUGUGCUUCAUCGAUAACCAAAAUGGGAACAAAUCAGUACCUCUCCGACAGCAGACAAGCAAUGCCUCAUAUUAGCCAGAGUUUCGGCAGCACGGGGGAGAUCACCACUGGUAAAUACAUCCUCCACAGUCGAACUUAAUUGAGUUAAUCCAGCAGCAUCCUGUUAUUUAACCACAAAAGAGUUUUGGCCUCAAUAUAGAAAAUCUCAGUGAGCUACAUCAAUAUUCAAUUCACUUUCGCUACCUGCAAAGUUUCAUAUGCAGCUUCCAUCCUCUGCUUGACUACAUCAACCUUAGCAAGUGCUGCUAUGGACUCAGCCGACGAUCCCUCUGCCUAUAAAAAAAAACAGAGGAUGAAAGAAGGCAAAUGCAAAUUAAUGGGUGCUGACUCAUAAAUGGAUCUCAACAGACAUAUAUAAAUUUCACUCCAUUCACAAUCGUAUGACAUGUUUGCAUAAGGACUUGUAAGAAAUCAAUAUCAAGAUCAAAUUUCUAAGUGUAUCUUUGGUUCCACUUUUGGAAGAGCCAAACUGAUUCUAGAGGUUUAAAAUUUAUUUUGCCUCCAUAAUUGAUUCAACUUGAAGCUAGAAAUUGUAGGUUCUGAUUCUAGAAUUGAUUUUUACACCCAAAUGUAUUGUUUAACUCACUUUUACAUGAAUGCAUACAAACUUUUUUUUUACGGAAUGAAUGUAUACAGUCACUUUACCUUCAACUCAAUUUUACAGAAUCAAUUCACUCAAACUCAACUAUUUUCACAGCAAAACCAAACAUAAUUUUGAUACACUGUCCGUGUAAAAAAAAUUAAUCUAUCAAGUUGUUGCAAUCAAAUCAAACAAUUUUUUUUGUCUAUAGACAAAGUGGCAACUACUACCCGAAACUCAAUCACACAUUGUGAGGUCGCAGGUAACAUUGUCCAGCCUAGCAAUAUCAAACUCAAACUUCUAAGUUUAUUUUUGAUACAUUGUCGAAUUAAAUUUAAUCUCAAAAAAAUUUAAUUUUGAUCAAAAUCAAUCAUUAUUUUCUCUUAUGUAGACAGUGUCAACCACCACCUAAAAGUCACUCACAUAGUUGUGAGGUCUCGUGUGAAGGUGUUCAACCGAGCAAUAUGCAGCUCAAAUUUCUAAUUAAUCUAUUAUCAAGUGGGUAUGAUCAAAUCAAAUCAAUCACUUUUUCUUCCGGGGUUGGUAAACGAAGUGACAACACCAGCUGAAACUCACACACACAUCUCCGAGGUCCUGAAUGAAGGUGUUCAGCCUAACAAUAUCAAGCUCAAAUUUCAAAUUUCAAAUUUCUAAGUUUAAUUUUCGAUACAUUGUCAUGUAAAAAUAAAUAAAUUAAUCUACCAUGUGAACGUGUCCCGCAUUGUCAGUUACAAUUUUAAAGUAAAGGUAAAGGAAGUGAUGCCAACCUUCUGGAGGUUAUGGAGAAUGACAGAGACAGCAGAACGGAGAGAACCAGCAUCAUCACGAAGACGAACAACAUCUCUGGUGGCACGAGGAACAUGGAGGAGAGCAGCAGAAGAUUGUUCCUCAAGAGAAGCGGAGAUUUCUUCGGAAAGCAUCUGGAGUUUCAUCUCCAAAUCGAUCAGGUGUUUGUCUAAUGACUGUUGAGAGUGUCGACUGUGACAUGCUGUGUUGAUCCAUUUCUUUGGGUCGAAAUUUGAGUUUGAGAAUUGAACCAAAUCUACCAUCAUCUUUGUGGGAAUCGCCUCCUUCGAUUUCAAUUCAGAAAAUGAAUGAUAGAUUCAUCAAUCAACAAUGUCGAUCAUGAAGGAGAAUAAAGUGUAAACCAUGAAUUUGGUACCAAACAGUUCAUAUUUCAAAUUACCUUAAUAUCUAUAAAGUAAAGACACUCAUUGGAUUAGGCGUGUCUCUAUGUCGGACACAUGUCGUAUCCGACACCGACACUUGUAAUUGCACUUAAUUAUGUGAUUUUUUCAAAUUAUUAGUUGUGUCGGCGUGUCAGCAUCCGUGUCGUGUCCGGUGUCCGUAUCCGUGAUUCAUAGGUUAAUAUAUGUUACUAAGUGUAGUAUUAGCGGAUUUUUGUUUAGUGUCGUGUCGGUGUCCGUAUCCGUUUUUCAUAGGUUAAUAUAUGUUUAUUAGUGUAGUAUUAGCGGAUUCUUGUUUACCUCCACUAAAUUUUGUAUCUUUGUCGGUGUAAUUUGAGCGAAUUUCGAUUUACCUCUGAUCAUAUCAUAGAUAUUGUACAAUCAAAAUUCAUGAAUGUUCAAAAUCAAAGAAUCUUCAAAUUGUUACAGGGUUGAAAUCUAAACAAUUUUUUUAUAUGGGUAAACAAAAAACCGCUAAUAUUAUAGGAGAUAAACAUAAAUUAACUAAAAAAAACAGUGAAAACCACACAAAACUAAAUAUAUUUUAAUGUGUUUGACGCCAUUUUCUGAAAAUCGUUAGUAUUGGAUCAAAGUGUUUGACCCCAUUUUGUGAAAACCGUUAAUAUUGUAUCUUGGAUUAAUUUUUCUGAAAUAUCAUUUUAAUUUGAUUUAUUGUAUUUAAGAUUAAGUUUAUGUUAUAUAUAAUAUUGAUUGAUAUAUGGAUAUUAAUUGGUAAUGAAAGAAUAUAUAUUGCUCUGAAUAUCCGUUUUAUAAAUACUUUCUGCAGAAUACAUUGAUAUACCUUACUCUCAUUACAUUACCACUUUUGUAGGAGUUGGGGAAAAGUUCAUGGAUGAGUUGGAGAAAAGUUCAAUACCGAAAUAAAAAAGAAACCAAUUGCAUUUUCUACGUUUACGCUCACAGUUCAUUCAAUAUUUCACCAAGUUGUGGUUUCUUCUUUUGAAGAAGAUUUUUUUUUUUUUUUUUUUUUUUUUUUUUUUUGCUUACAAAUACCAUGAAACUCAAAAUACAAGUUCUCCUUGGUUUCUGUUGCGGAAUAACCACUACCGUGAUAUUUGUUCGAUUGGCUGAAACUGAAAUUAUCGGUAUCUUCAUAUGGGUUUUUUCCUUUAAGGUUGUUCGUAAACUUUGCAAUUUAUAUUUAUACAAACCUGGUAUCACGGCAUUUGUUGCCAUGAUAACCAUGGUUCUUGCCAUCCUUCUUGUCAUAUUCAUUGACAUCUUUUCUAUUCUUGAUGGAAUCAUUGUCGACAUUAUUCUACCGUAUGAAAUCCUUACCGGCAAUGACAAAGACACGGAAAAAGAAAUGAAUGAAAAUAAAGUUCCUGUUGACGACGUGGUCUGACAAGCAAAGAUGCGUUUUUAAUGAUUAGGUGUGAUAUCAUGUUAAAGACCAUUUAGUUCUGAAUUUCCAUCAUCAUAUAUUCAUUACUUUUAUUGGUUGGAGCAAUGUUGUUUUAAUUUCUGCCUUAUAACUGUAUUGCUAGUGAAUGAUUGAUUUUUUGAAAUUAUUUGACUAUUAUAUAUUUUGAAAUUCAUACAAUUGAAAUUUGUAUAACAAUGUUAUUUGACUAUCAUACCGGUUUCAUUUGUUGUAUUUAAGACCAAGUUUAUGUUACAACUAAAUGUAUGAUAAUGAUAGAGCUGAGAAUGAUUGCGCGUAUAAGAUUUUGAUUGAAAUAUCAUUUUGAUUUGAUUUGUUGUAUUUAAGAUUAAGUUUACGUUAUAUCUAAUAUUGAUAUAUGAAUACUAAUUGGUAAUAAAAGAAUAUAUAUUGUUGUUUCUUUUGUAGUGGAUUAAUUCCUAUUUUAAUGAGGUUUAGUUUUUUUACUUAAUAAUUUAAAUAAUCUUAUAAAAAGAUAAAAUAGUUUAAAUGAAAGUUAAAAUAAUAAAGGAAAAAGUGAGUCCAAACUCAUGUAUUCUCUUUAUAUCUAGAGUAGCAGUGUAUUUUUCCGACGUAGCCCGAGUUAUAUACAUAAUUUUAAUGACUAUGUCUUAUGUAUAAUAUUUAUUAAAAGUCCAAAUGUCUAUAAUAGAAAAAAGAUUAGUCAUAUUAUGACCUGUAGUUUAUUAAAUAAACUAUUAAUAUCUGGAUAAAGUAUAAAAUAAAUAAAUUGAAGUUUUUUUACAAAGAUAUAAAUAAAUUUAAGUUAACUAAAUUAAAAAAAAAUUAUCAAUAAUAUUAUUGUUUGUGUUAAAUGCAUAAUACUGAUUGAAAAUCCACAUUAUUUAAAAGUAAUAAAAAAAAAUAUUACUAAUAUUAUAACACGUAAUUUAUUUGUGGUGAUGUAACCUGUAACUUGUUAAAAAAAUUAUUAAUGUUUACCUAAAAUAUAGAUUUAAAUGAGGUUCCGCAAUUGGACGAUGGGAUUGAACUCCUCAAUUUAGCCGGUCAUUGGAUCAUAUAUCGAGUUUUAAAAAAACGAGCACAUGUAGGCAAACCAAGUUAUUUCUUUAUAAAUAUAUGAAAUUGAUUAAAAUAAAUAAAUUAAUCGAAUAAUCAUAUAAACUUUUCUCAAUCAAUUUAAUAUUUAAAAUAUGAAUGCAUUAUCUAUUACAUUUGACAAACUCUAUGUUAAAUGAAAUAUAAUUUAAAAUGAAGUUUAAUGAAAGAGAAAGCUGCGAAACGAAUAAAUAGUUUGAAAUAAGUACGAAACUCAUGUGAAUUUCUUUACGUGUUUUUCAUAUGAUUCUUAACUAAAAUACACUUUUCAUGAGUAGUUUAUUUAGGAACCAUAUGAAAAACACCUAAGAAAAUACACCUAACUUUUUUGCUAGAAUUAAAAUAGGAUAAUACUUAGGCGCAUUUUCUGGUACUUCACAUAAAAUACUAACAACUACGUAUGAUUUCUCAAAUUCACAAUUUUUUGAAAGUUUGUUAUAACCCUAAAAAAAAUGAAUAUUAAUUAUGUGAAGAACCAUAUGAAAAACAUGUAAGGAAAAUGCACCAAAUCUUUGUCCUUAAAAUAAUUUUUUUUAAAUGAAUAUAGUUUGUUUUUGUCAAGAAAAAGUUGUGUAAUUGACACAUAUAUAAGUGUGUCAGAUCAAAAUAAUUUAUAUUUCAAAUAAAAAUCGUUAAAUGUCAAAUCAUACCAAUGUUUAGACUUUUUAACUAACAAAAAUAAUUAAAUAGUAAUUUUUAUUCCUAAAAAACAAUUAUUGAUAUUAGUUUCCAUCUAGACAAGCUAUCGAAAAUUGGAAUACAAUAGUAGAAAUUAAGAUAUGUAGUCAUCAUAAAUAAAAUAAAUUAAAAUAUGUAAAUUUCGUACACUAACCCUAGAUUCAAAAUAGGGCAACCACGUUGGUAUUCUCCUUUGUUGACGGUGAGGUUUUUAAAGGGAAGGGUUCCACUAAAAGAGAGACAAUGCACAUAAAGUUGUUAUGGGUUAUCCAAGUCUUGUUAAUAUACAAUUCGAAAAUAAAAUCCGAAAGCAUGUAAUAGAAGUUCAAAUUAUAUAAUCAUAAAGGUGUCAAAAUCCUCAAUGGACCAUUUCAAAAACAAUUUACAAUAUAUAAAGUUUACACAUUUAAGAUUAUAUAAUUCAAACUGUUUAUAUACAGUUAAGAUUAUAUAAUCUAAACUGUGUUAGCACAUAAACAUAACCUGUAUUAAUUAGUUAACACCUUUUUUUUUUGGCAAAUUGAGGAAUCAAGAUUGACUUAAACAUGCAUUCAAACAAAUUAUAAUUUUUUUUUUUAAUGCAAGCAUAUGAAACAAUACGAAUGAAGCAUAUAUUAAAAAAAAUAGCACCAAUAUCGAUUGGUUAUAACGUACACGAUCCAAACAUAAAUUAAAAAUACAAACUAUCUAAAUUAUACAACACAAUAAGAAAACUAUUGGGUGGUAUGGUCAGCCUCAUCACCCCUCCGUCUUUGAUGAUAAAUCAUUUGUCUUGAACCUCUUUGAGGAUAUGCUCCAAACUCAGCAAUGCAUGACAAACUUUCUCUCUCCACCUGACCAUUAUCCAUUAUCCCUCAGACAUGAUCUCUUACUUGCCCUAGUCGUGCGCUCAUGUCUAGUUGCUAAUUUUCACAUAAAUCUAGAUUUUUGUUUCAUGAUUUUGGCGUCUUGGUACGUCGUCGUUGCUUUGUUCGUCGAUUUAGUCUGACAUUUAUUGUUUUUUCGUCUUUGAAACAUAUAAAAUAAUAAUAGAUUAAAAUAAAUUAAUAUGAAGUAUUCAAAGAAUUAAAAAGAAAAAAAUAAUAGCUUGACAUGAUAUAUUCCCCGUCCUAAUUUUUUUUUUUUUUUAUCAAUUCUAAUAGCUAGAAAUUCACUUUUUGAAAGUGAAUAAGUGAGGUGUCUAUAGUUCAUACCUCGACCCCCACAUAUAAUAAUCAAUGUCCUACCAACUGAACUAAGCUCAUAGGGACCCCUCCGGCAUAAUGGAAAAAUAAGGAUUAAUAAUACAUUGAUUUUUUUUCAAUGCAUAAUUAAUCCUUAUUUUUCCAUUAUGCCAUUUACUAUUUUUUUUUUUUUUUUUAUCUUUUUCCAAUUAUUUUAAUUUAUUUUUUAUACCAAUUAUAAAUGAUAUUUUUGUAAAAUAACUCACAAUCACUCUUUUCUAUACAACAUUAAUUACACUUUUUAAUAUAUAUAAAAUUGCUAUAAUAACAUAUAAUUUGGGACAUACAUAUAAUCUGUCGACUUAUAGGAAGCAAUCACUAUUCAAAUUUCAUUUACCUUUCUAUUAAAUUCCGAGUUUCGAAGGCAAACACAUUUCUAUAUGACGUGAAAUCAUCAAUUAUUGACAAUCAACUAUCAGCUAUAACCUAUAAACUAUCGGCUAUCAACAACCAAUUACCAACUAAUUUAUGAAUAUCCUCUAUUUCUAUCAAACAUAGCGUUAAUACAAAAAUUCUAUACUUUUACGCACAUGAUGCUCUUUCAAUAAUUCUUUAUGUGGCUCUUCUAUGUUAAUAUCAUAGCGCCUAUUACAUUCUUCUCUCCAGGCCCUUGUAAUUUAUGCACUUGAGAUAAUCAACAUAUCAAGCUUUUAGUUUGAGUUUACUUUCUAUGCAUAUUGUCGGUUCAUCAAAACCAAUCAUUUUUUACUUUAGAGAUUAUCAAAGUAAAGUCAAACAUUUCUAUUGAUCUUCCUGUUGUGAUUAACCAUAUUUACACAGUCAAUGUAUAUAUAAAUCGAAUCUUUUGAAAUACAUGAGAUUUGGUUAAUAGGUAAGAGGAAUUUUAAUAUGGUCACAAAAUCAAAUAAAUAAUGUUUGGUCACAUAUACAUUAAAGAAGUUUUUUUAAAAUAAUAAAAAGGAUAUUAAAAAAUGGUUGAAUAUUUUGAUCUUAAUUUCUUUAUGUGUGUGCCUAAAUAUUAUUUAUUUGGUCUUAUAACCAUAGAAGGAUAUUUAACCAUAAGGCUGCUAGUCUGACCACUUUAACUGAGAAUAUUAAGAUUCAGACUUUCUGAUGGUUAAAAUCCUUUUACUUUAGCUGGUUGUGUUGUUUUUUUUAUUUUUAUCUUUCAGACAUGUAGUUUCUUCUAGUACACCUUAUAUUAGAGAGACUAUUUUUAGUUGUUUAAUAUAGUAUUUCUUAGCCUUUUUAAAAAAACAUACCUCAAUAGACAAAUGUCGUCUACUAAAAAAAUGAAUUAUUCAUGUAUAUCACUCAAUGAUAUCACUACAUUAAUAUUCUUUAACACCUAAAUAUAACUUAGAAGCCAAGUAAUAACAAUCAAAAGCCUCAAAAUAGGUAAGUGAGAAAUUUCAAACUCACAUGUUCCACAUGACUAUGAGACUUUACCAAGAUUUGGAAUUGGAAGGAAUUAAUAUAAUCUCUACCUAGUUUUUUUUCUUUCUACAUGUUGAUAUUUCUGUAGGGAUGACAAAAAAUCCAUACACAUAAAUAUCCGCGGGUAAAAUCUACAACAUGCACGGUGUGAGUAGUUUACUUUAUAUGAUACUUCUCGUGGCAUAAAGUAAACAGAUAUUCCAACUACUCGUUAAUUGUUAGAUUAUUGAUGUAAUAUGAAGAGAUAAAGAUAAAAUAAAAUACAUAAGUAUAUGAUAAUAUGAAAUGUACAAGUAUCAUUGUUGCAAAAAGUAAUACAUCCAAAAAUAAUUUUUGAAAACUUGGGACAAACUCGAGAAAGAUGUAUCUCAUUUCUCACUUUUAUGAAAUGCUUAAUUAAUGCAUCAAAAUAUAAAUAUGAAAUUAAUGCAGGUGAUUUCAGCUAGAUUGACAAAAUAUUCUUUGGAUGUCUAGAGCUUCAUAGAUUACAGGUUGAACACACAUCAUCUAUCCGUGUUAAAGGCUAAAUAAUUGAAUACAUAUAGUCACAUUAUAUUCAUGAGAUUACAAAGAAUUUUCAAUUUCUUAAUUUUGGACUUUCUUUCUUUUUCUUUUGAUUGGUGUAGAACAUUUGAGAAUGUAAUUCAAAUUUUCAAAUGUGAUUAUAAUUAUAUUCAAAACGAUUGAUCUUAAGUUCUUAAUAUUGGUCAAUGAACCAUACUAUGGCACAAUUAAACUCACCUGAAUAAGUUGCUUAUUUUCCAAGCAGCAAAAAUUCUUUGUAGGCAUUUCGUACACCGUAAACAAAAUCAUAGUGCUAGAAGAAUUAUUUUGGUUUAAAAAUUUAAGUGUAACUAUUUGCAUUUUCAACUAUAAAAAUGAAAUAAGUUAAAUACAUGCAUUUAAAAUUAUAUCCUCUCUCUUACGUGAAUCAAAAUAAAUUUUUUGAGAUGAAUUUUUUGAAUAAAUUAUAAUAUUAAGGCAGGUAAGCAUCAAGUUGCGCUGCUAAGCAUUUUUGGAUUGCAAAACAUUCUCGUAAAUACAAUAUUCAUGGAUUUAAGAGACAUAUCAUUGUUAUACACGACCUUUUAAACUCUGUAGAAUAUCAAUAGUCUCUGAUGCUAAGAUGCCAAAAAUAUCAAAUGUAAAUGAUAUAUAUAAAAUAAUGUUAACUGUCAAAAUACGUUUCAUCCUAACUAAUUUCCUUGACACAACACAUGCAAUAUAAUGUUCAACAUUCUACAUUCACCACAUGGUGUGUCACUUUCAAUUCAUGAUCCUAAUUAAAUUAGGUUCCCUUAACUUUGCUAAUGAAAUUUCAACCAUUAAUGCUGUAUAUUUCACGCAAAGCAUAGUAGAGCAUGGUUGUUAUUUUUUUUUUUGUCAACACCAUGGUUGUUAGUUUAUUUGAUAUAUUUUAUAUAUAUGUCCUUUUCAUAAAAGAAGUUAUACAUAUUUGUCAAAAUCAUUGCCGUUAUGGCUGCCGGGUUCGAUGGCAUCCUAGCUAUAUAGCAGUUAGCACCCCUAGUAUCUUCUUAGGGAUUUGAAAAUGUUCCAAGUAAAAGAUAAAUAAUAUAAUUCAAUCAUACACAAGGACAAGGAUAUGUGUACCAACAUUGAGUUUUCUUUUUGAGUUCGAUUACCAACAUUGAGUUAAUCACUUUAAAAUAAAAAUAAGGUUUAAAUAUGUUUUUAAUCCCUAUAAAAUAGGGAACUUUUAAGUUUAGUCCUUACUUAAUUUUAAUAGCAUUUUUAGUCUCUAUAAAAAAAAAAUUACUCAUAAUUUUAGUCCCUGCUAAAACAAAACUUGUUUAAUUAUUUUUAAACUCUUAAAUUUUUGAACGAUUUUUUUGAGAAAAGUUUUGAACACUAUGAAAGGUUCAUUUACUAAAAUUUAGAAUUUUUUAACAUGAAACAAAUUAAAUAUGAAUUUUUUAAAACGACAAAAGUUAAAGAUAAAAAGUAACAAAAUCUGGAUGUAGAAAUCAAAUUUUGCGAUAAUUUUUUGCCGAGGAACUUUUAGUAAUGUUCUAAAUAUGUCUGCAAAAAAUUGUUCAAAAACUUAAGAGUUUAAAGCAUAAAUUAAGCAUAUUUGAAUUGAGUAGGGACUAAUACUCACUGCAGAAAAAAAAAUUAGGGACUAAAAGAACUAUUAAAAUUAAGUAAGGACUAAACUUAAAAGGUCACAAUUUUAUAGGGACUAAAAACAUAUUUAACCCUAAAAAUAAAAACUGUGUUGAUCAGAAUGAAACAAAAAUAAUAUCUUUUAAACAAUGACUUGAAUCCUCGUAGACUUAGCUCAACUCAUAGAGACAAUACAUAAUAUAUGUAAGGUUUGGGGUUUAAGCCUCGACCAAAAAAAAAAAUGACUUGAAUUGAUAACAAUUUUUUUUUUUAAUUUAAGUUUUGUGGACGAAAAAAUAUGGUUCCAAAUUAUAGACUCAUCGAAGGCGAUCAAUCACAAUUUUUCAUAUAUUAGUCAUUAAGAAAGUUUUUAUUUCUUCGGUAAAAUUAUUAAAGAUGUUGGAAUCAAUGAAUAUUGAUUCAAUUAAUAAAGAGUUGAUUCAUACUCUACGAGGGUGUGAGUUUAUUUAUCGAUAUCGGUGUGAGAAUCUCUUUAUUAGACAAUCUAUAAGUAUUUAAGUGUUUUUUUGAGUCUUAAGACAUGCUCUAACCUUGUUGAACCCCGUAGCACAACUCACCUAAAAAAAAUCUUUUAAUUUUUUUAAGGAAGUUGGUAAAUGUUUCACACCUAUUAUACGGUUUAAAAACAUUGGCUUGGUUAAAUAUAUUAUAUAUUAUAAAUCACAAAUGACAACCAAACCAAUGAAUAUGAAAGAAGCCAAUGAAUAAUGAAACAAAGCUCUCAUUUUCUAUGUUUUUUCACUACAAGUCUUCAACUCCAAGACAAAACCUUACAAGAGUUUAUUAAGAGUUUGUUUGUUUUCCAAAGACAUCUUCUAUUGUUGUUUAUUUUUUCAUUUUUUACUUUGUUUUCUAGCUUGUAACAAAGCAACACACAGUAUCAUGAACUUAUAUAUUUGUCAACCGAAUUUAUAAUUUCGAUUAAAAAAACAUAAAAUAGAACAAACACUUUUAACCUGAAAACGGCUAGUAUAAGUUUUAAAGUAGCAUGGAGCCAAAAAAAAUUGUUAUAAAUAAAAUUAUUACCAAAAAGUUAUACCAAUAAAUUUAAACUAUAUAUCAUUGUCAAAAAUAAAAUUUAACUGUAGCAUUGCAACUAAAAAAUAUUCAUAACUUAUACUCCCUCCGGUCAUAUUUAUAAGCAAAAAUUGACUUUUUAGGUACAUUGAAUAACUGGUGUAUCCAGUCACAUUUAUAGGUUAGAUACAUUAAUUAUUCAAUGUAUCUAAAAAAUGUUUUUUGCUUAUAAAUGUGACCGGAGGGAGUACUAAUCAAAUGAAACACUCAAGUCAACAUAUGAGUUUUUUUUUUUUUUUGACUAGAACAUGUGAGUUAAAUCUAGACAUAAAAUAUUAUAGAAGAAUUACAUCAAAUGCAUGCAUCUUCACUGUGUAGCUCAUGUGUGCAUAGUAUUUUCUUCCCUAUAAAUAGAACUUCAAAUUCCUUUGUAUAUGUCAACUAAAGAAAAUAUCUUCUAUUUGAAAUCCUUCCACCUUUUACUUUGUAUACCUCUCCCUCUUUUAAAAUGAAGACUAUGAACAUAAACACUAUUACAUUGAUCAUUACCACUGCUUUUUUGGUUUUAUUUUCAUGUCUUGAAAGAUGCAGUGCCACAAGAGGCCACAGUUGGAGGAAACUCAAAGCUACCUCUUCUACUUUCAAUGUAUUAGAUUUUGGAGCUAAAGGUGAUGGACAUUCUGAUGACACAAAGGUGAUCUCAAAUUGGUUCAUUAUCUCUAGCUAUAUUUAUCUAUCUACAUGUUGUCUAGUGUGAGUUUGAGUCUUUGAGAAGAGUUAAUCUCAAAUGAAUAUCUUUAUAUGGAUUAAUGUUUUAGUUGAAUAUAACCAAGUGGCCGAUUGAGUUAAAAUGGUUAAUAAGUUAUGGUUAAAAAUUAACUGGUUGGGAGAGUAAGAAUUUCAAUUUAAUUAGCUAAAACAAUUAUUAAACAUAUUUUAUUUACUUCGCAGACAAAAUAAAUUAAUUAUAUUUUUUUUGUCUUAACUUCUGAUUCUCAGAGGAAGGGGACUCGGGUAGAGUUCAAUCGAAAAAUUUAGUAAAGGGUAAAAAAUCGUUAUAGUUAUGGUUCAAACUCAGACACCGUCAAUCAUAUCAAGUUUCAUUGAAGCGAGUCUAACACUUCGAUUCCUUUUAGGGUUUUGGUUAUAUGAUCAACGUUAAUUUCUAGGCACUCUAAUGUGUAUCAUUUUUUUUUUAUUGCUAUAGCUAUCUACUUAGUAAUAUUAUUAAUUUAUGACUACAUAAAAUGACAGGCCUUUGAAGAUGCAUGGGCAGCUGCUUGUAAGAUGGAGGCAUCAACAAUGGUUGUUCCAUCCGGUUCUGUUUUUCUAGUAAAACCAAUUUCAUUCUCUGGCCCUAAUUGUGAGCCUAACAUUGUUUUUCAGGUGAAUUAGUUAGUUUAUUUACUUCUCCUACAUUUUCUUGCAAUAUGUGUGAUGUGUAAUCACUAGAAGCACUAGAAUAUAAUUCAAUAUAUACACACACGUGUGUGUCAAGUAAAUAAAUGUUUUAGAAUUUAAUUCAUCAGCUUUUUACAUUUAUAAACUAAUCAUCAUGGCCGGCCCAAGGCCAAGGCAAUAAGACAAGGGUUUUGAGCCUAAAAAAUAUGAAAAAUGCUCUUCUCCCAACAAGAUUUGUUCACUCCCAAUCAAACUUUCAAAAAUACUUUUGGUGUGAGUUAAGUCACAUAUAUGUUAAACUCAGUGUGACUUAACUCACGCAGCGUGACUUAAGUCACAUUGAAAAUUCACACUGAGUUCUGGCGUGAGUUAACUCACGCAGGUUAUAAACUCAACGUGAGUUAAGUCACGCGGGUUAUAAACCAUAUGAGUUAACUCACGCAAGAUAUUUUGGGAAGUUUGGUUGGUACCAUACCCUUUAGAUUUGCCAAUACAGAUAAACAAAAAUACUAUUUUUUCCUUGCAUUCGGAGGGGUUGGUACGAUGAUGUUGGUUUUAUAUCUUGAAGUAUGUUCAUCUUCAAGAUUCCAAAUUCAAUUAUCUCUGUGUCAAUUUGGGUGAAUAAAUUUAACUUCUUAAAAAAAAAUUAAUAAUUAACCUGUCGUGUUCAUAAAAAUACAUGCAGCUGGAUGGAAAAAUCAUUGCUCCUACAAGUCCUUCAGCUUGGGGCUCAGGUACUUUGCAAUGGCUUGAGUUCACUAAGCUAAACAAGAUUACAAUUAAAGGCAAAGGUGUCAUUGAUGGUCAAGGCUCUGUUUGGUGGAAUGAUAGUGAGAAACUACCAAAAACCAAACCAACGGUAAGAAUAGUCCUAGCAUUGGAUUUCUAUGUCAUUAAAAUAUGAUUCAUUUUAUAUGCAUCGACAAUGUAAAAGUCACACUGUCAAUCUUUUUUUAAGAAACUAAACUAACCCAAUGGAAUUGACAUCAACGAGAAUCGAACCUAAGACUUUGAGAGUUACAUCGUUAAUCACUACAAAAAUUGUCACAUAUAGACCAAUUUAUAGAUUGAAAAUGUCAAAUUGGUCUUGGGACGUUAACAUUAGCAACAUUUUGCAAAUCGGUCAAAAGAUAAAAUAAUCCGGUGGCUAAAUCAAACGCUACAAAGACCGGAAUUAUUCGGUCACUAAAUUGGUUGCUAAAUAUAUUUUUUAGUGGUAAGUCAAUCACAACGGUUUGAUCAUUGAAAAAAAGUUACCUUUUAAAUUGACUUUGCGUCAAAAUUAAUCUCAUAAAACUAUAAGAUUCUAUCAUAUGUGAUUUUGACAUUUUUGUUAUAUGUAGGCACUAAGGUUCUAUGGAAGUGAUGGUGUAAGUGUGAGUGGUAUAACCAUUCAAAACAGUCAACAAACCCAUCUCAAAUUUGAUUCAUGCACAAAUGUUCAAGUCUUUGAUAUAACAACUUCAUCACCUGGUGAUAGUCCUAACACAGAUGGAAUUCACCUACAAAAUUCUCAAGAUGUGGUCAUAUCUGGCAGCACACUUAGUUGUGGUAAGAAUUUCACAAAAUUUGAAUGAGUUUUCUAGAAGAAUUGAAUUGAACACAUUUCAUAAUGCAUCACUUUUUCAUCAUGUAGGGGAUGAUUGUGUGUCUAUACAAACUGGUUGUUCUAACAUAUUGGUGCACAAUGUUAAUUGUGGACCAGGUCAUGGAAUUAGUAUCGGAAGUCUCGGAAAAGAGAACACCAAAGCUUGUGUUUCCAAUGUCACCGUUCGCGAUGUUACUCUCCAGAACACCUUGACUGGGGUGAGAAUCAAAACAUGGCAGGUAAAGUUCUAAGGAAAAUUCCAUUUAAAUGAUACUUUUUUAAUCAAACACUUUAAGAAAAAACAAGUUAAAACAUUUUCAUAAUAAUCAUUAUUAAGUUUUGCUUAUAUAAAAAAUUAAUAGUUGAGUUUUUACUAAAAAAGGUUGGUCCAAUUGACCAACAAUUAAAGAUAUUGUAUUCGAGUUUUGUAAAUAGAGAAUAUACUCGCCAGAAAAACAUUGUUCUCUUAUAGCGAUGCAUCUGGCUCGACUUGAAUUGGUCGGAGAUGCGAGUUCAUCGAAAAUCUAGACCAAAAUAACAUUUUUUAAUAAUACUUUCGUUUUUUUUUUGUGAUGGUCGGGGUUUGAACCAUGAACCUUGCAUAUAUUAUGCAUCGUGCCUACCAACUGAGCUAAACUCACGAGGACAAUAAUACCUUCGUAUUGAAGUUAGACGGUUGUUUCAAAAAGUUAAAUAAAAGGAGUAUGAUUUACAUGAGUCCUAUAAAAUUAAGUUUCCUAAUUUAUUUGUAAACAAACUAUUAAUUCUUUUCAACAGGGAGGCUCAGGCUCAGUCCAAAACAUCAUGUUCUCAAACAUUCAAGUUUCUGAUGUAAAAACUCCAAUAAUGAUUGAUCAAUUCUAUUGUGAUGGUGGAAAGUGUCGUAAUGUAACAUCAGCUGUGGCAGUAUCAAGUAUACAUUAUACAAAUGUACAUGGAACUUACACUAAAGAACCUAUUUAUUUUGCAUGUAGUGAUAGCUUACCUUGUAAAGGUAUAACCCUUGAUACAAUAAAGCUUGAAUCAAGCCAAAACUCCAAUGUUCCUUUUUGUUGGAAAGCAUAUGGUGAAUUGAAAACUGAAAUUGUUCCUCCUGUUGAUUGUCUUCAAAGAGGGAAUCCAUCAAGUGGUGGAAUCACUUCUAACAAAGAAAGUUCUUGCUGAAUUUAAUAAUCAUCGACACUUCAGAUUAAAAAUUUGUUUAGGAUCUGACACUUGUGUCAGUGUUUGGCAUCGGCAAAUGUUUUAUAUAUUCAAUUCUUUAUUUUCUUAAAUAGUAUCAGUGUCAAUGUGGUGUUUGGUGUCUAUAUGCUUCAUAGAUAUUAUAUUCAAAGGAUUAUCGUAUAAUAUAUAGGUUAUAUAUAGAAAAUUGUUAUCUUGAUUUCCAAUUCAUUGUGUUGGGGAAAUUAAGAUUAUAGUAUACAUAUAAGAAGUUGUUAUUUUGAUUUCUAAAUUAGUUUAUGUUUAAUGUAAUGUUGGGUGACAGAUUAAGAUUAUAUUAGACUUUAUGAUUUGCAAAUAACAUUUUUAUUUAAAAUUAUGUCGUUUCACAAACAUUUAUCAUAUGCGUUGUACUUACAGGAUACACAAUUUUACCACUAUGAUCAAAAGCAAACAUGCAUCAAACUGUAAUUAAUAGUUUUGGUAUCAAUUUUUUAUUUUUAUUUUUUCGCAAAUUUUGUUAGAAGAAAACAAGCUAGUAUAAUUCCCUAAAAAGAAAAGACAACUAACAAAAUUUCAUUAGUAAGAAUUAGUCAGGAUCAUGAAUUGAAAGUGACACACCAUGUGAAUGUUAGAACAUUAGGCUAUUAUGUUGCAUGUGUUACGAUUAUAAGAGGAGAAAAUGAUUUUUUUUUUUUGGUACAAGGGGAAGAAAUGAUUUUAAAUGCAUGUAUUUAACUUAUUUCAUUUUUAUAGUUGAAAAUGCAAAUAGUUACACUUAAAUUUUCAAACCAAAAUAAUUCUUUUAGCCCUGUGAUAUUUGUAAUUGUUUACGGUGUACGAAAAUGACUACAAAGAAUUUUUGUUACUUGGAUAAUAAGCAACUAAUUCAUGUGAGUUUAAUUGUGCCAGUAUAUUUGUCUCUUUGACCAACAUUAAUUAAAACCUUAAGAUCGAUCCUUUUAAUCACGUUGAAUAUAAGCUAGUUUAGUUAAUUACAUUCUCAAAAGAAAAAGAAAGAAAGUCAAAAUUAAGAAAUUGAAAAUUCUUUAUAAUUCAUGAAAAUAAUGUUAGCCUUUAACAUGGAUGAUGUGUGUUCAUCCUGUAAUCUUUGAAGCUCUAGACAUCUAAAGUAGCUGAAAUCACCUGCAUUAAUUAAUUUCAUAUAUGAAGAAAGAUAUGAAAUUUUCGAUAGUAUUUGAUAUGUCAUACAAGGUUCACCACAUCAACUAUGUCCCUAGUGAUGCUUAAAUUGAUUCUUAAAAUACUUCAUAAAUACUGUGAAGAGAUAGAAAUGAUCAAUGUGGUUGAAACCCGCACCCUUAAAUCCCCAUACUUUACUUAUGGACACCAUCACCUACAUGUUUCAUCUGAUCCACCAAUUAAGUUAAAAAAACUGGUUCAAAUCAGACACUUGCAUGCAUCAAUAUAUUCGGGGGAAGCUAGCUCGUUGCAUAUACGACCUUGAUCAACAACUAGAAUAUGGAACAAUAGCAUGUCGCACACAAAUGGAGUUGCAACAACGACUCCCACAAUUGAUAUUUUGUGUCACUGGGCUCAACGAGGCUUAAAAUUUCAAAAUUGUAGGACUUUGAAAUCCACAAUGCCAUAAUUUUGCCAACGGUGUUAGUGGAUUUUCGUUUAGUUAUUUUUUUUAUGGGUUUUCAUAUGAGAUGAUCGUGCGAGUUUAAGAUGGAGAAGACUAUAAACAUAGAGAAUUUAUAGAUGUAUUUAUACUUAUCUCUCUUCAAUAACACUAGUGAUGUUUGAACUCGAACGACAUAUCGUUACAAAUUCAUCACUGAAUUAUUUAGUGACCGAUUUCUUUACAUAUUUCGCACAUUUUGUAUCUCGAAGUUUUUUUUUUCUUUCUUCAAAGAGACUAAUGUUUGUGAUUCACACAUUUUAAACAUUGAAAAAUGAAUAAUUUGAGAUUAGAACUUCGGCUCCUACAUGAUAUUGUCCUACUUGUUGAGGAGUGUUAUUUGAACAACCAUUUGGUUGACACCUUACAUGAUAACCAUAAUUUACAAAGAAAAAGUAAGUAUUUGUACAAAAACCAAAUCAAUAGAGAGAUAAAGUAAAAAAUAAUAUGAAUAUGAGAGAGAAAGUUGAUGGAUGUUCAAAUAUAAUUUAUCUUUUUUUUGUUUUUGACUAAACUUUUCGCGUGCGAAUAUGCAUGUGGCUAAAAGCUGGUUAGGAGAUUCAUGUGCAUAUCUCGUAUAUUUUAAUCAAUAGUAUAACUGCAAUAUACGCCAUGAAAUAGUACAUGAGUGCAACGUGAUAUUUUUGGUGUCAGUUCAAUUCAAUGUGUCAUUGUAUUUAUCCAAGUUGAAUACUUCAAGCAUGAGUUUGACUUGUGAAAAUAAAAUAAAUAAAUGAUUUGGCCUUAUUUAUUUUUUCAAACGAGUCUAACUACUAAAAGUUCGAAAUUUGUUUGCUAAAAAUUAGAGAAGCUUUUGUUAAACUUAUAACUUCAUUUUUCUUAAUUUUGACCUUCAUAAAAAAACAUUUCAAAAUUAAAUUUAGUAGACAUCUUCAUCAAAAUAAAUAAAUAAAUAAAUAAAUAAAUAAGAGAACAUAUUUUGUGGACAAAUGAAUCUUUAUUCAUCCUUAAAAUUGUUUUUAGACUGUAGUUGGAAGGGAAAGUGCAUAAUCUCACGAGGACUGUCGCGAGGUUAGUAACAAAUAUACUACAUGUGCAUAGUCUCAAUUUAUUUCAUAAGGCAUAUAAGAAGGAAAAUAACCUUAUGAAAUUCCUCAAUAAGAAUAGAUUGCCACAAAUAUGAUUGACCAAACUUAUGUAGCAACUAUUGAUGCAGUAAGUUAUCUACUUUUAAUCUAAAAAGUACAACCAUAAGGAAGAAUACAAGAAAACAAUAAAUUAAAAAAUUAUUUUCUUAUUGAUUGAUUUCUUAAAAGAGAACAUUACAUUCAAUAACCUAGUAUGCCAACAAUCAAUGAAUGAUAAUCAUCCAUAUGUGUCAGCCUCUUUAAGAAAAUCCUAAAAUCUUAAGAAUAUAAAAAUAGCAACUAAUGCAUCAAAAUGCUAAAUAAAUUAUGUUAAAGAUAAUUUAUGAAUUGGAUCAACUAUAAAUAAACCUACUUUCACUUUAAGUUCCUUGAUGUGAUCCCAAACUUUUCCAUUUUAAUGCCAAAUGUGUAAGAGUCAUUGUAGAAGAUCCAUUUUCCUUUAAAGCAUCAAUAGCAUUACCUUUCAACUUUUCCAUUCUUUGGGUGAAUUUCCUUUCCUUCUUCACCAACCAUCAAAUUCUUUACAACCUUAGCUAUCUCUUCCCUUUCCACUAUACCAUUCUCAUUAACUUUAGGUCUAAUAGCCACUUUCAAACCAUCACUUAACAAAGCUGCAUUCAUCUUUUGUUCAGCAAAGAGUGGCCAUGCUAUUAUUGGAAUUCCAUUUACAACACUUUCAAGUGUUGAAUUCCAACCACAAUGAGUUAAAAACCCACCAAUUGAACUAUGACCAAGAAUUUCAAUUUGUGGUGCCCAAUAUGGAACUACUAAACCUUUCCCUUUUGUCUUCUACUAUACUAUAUAGAAAAAUUAAUGUCUAUAUUUUUGACAAUUUUGCCCUUAUUAAGGGUAUUAUGGUAAAUUAAUUAUUGGAGCUGCCCUUGCCUAUAUAUGUGUUGCUGUAGAGAGAAAAAAAAAAAAGAAGAAAAACAGAACGACAGAGAGGAGAAGAAGGAAAAGAAGGGAGGCCGAUGGAGAAAGAAAAGAAGAGGAAACAGUGGGUAAUCAAGAGGAAGAAGGAAAAUGGGAGAAGAAGGCAAGCUUGAGAGAGUUCAUUCAUCCACUACCACAAUACUCACCUCACAUCAUUAUCAUUAUCAUCAUCUUCAACUUCAAUUUCCAAUUUUAAGGUGGGUUUCCCUUUUCCUUUCCCUCAUGCAUGUAGAAAUUUGAUGAAUUUAGAGUUAGGUUUUCAUUUGGGGGAAAAGAGAAUUUUAGGGUUUUAUGAAAUUGAGUAAUAAGAAUAGUGAAGUUUUUUUUUUUUUUUUUUGUUAUUCAUUCAAUUGGUAUUUACAGUAUCAAUUCUUGCUAUAUAGUGGGAAUUUUUGUUUUUGCUUUUGUAGUUUGGUGAUUCUGGGUUUUUUUUUUUUGUUGAUUCUGUUUUUGGUGUGAUUAUGUUUUUGUUUGUGAUGUUUCUAUACAUGUAACUUGUGAAAAAAUUGAAUCUUUUGAGAUGAAAUCACACUUGGUAUAAAUUGCACACAAGGUGUUUGUGAAAUUGAUUAAAAUUGGUGAUGCAUGAAUUGUUUACUUGAUGACUCAAAAAUUGAUGGCACAGAUUUUGUUAUUUAUAUUAUUGUUUGUUUGGAUAGCCAUAUUCAAGGUUUUAAACCAUGGUAGUAGUAAUGAUGGUUGAUGCUGCCUAAAUUGCAAUUGAAAUAGACUUUGAUGGAAUGUUGUGCUGAUGAGAUGUUGUUUUGUAGGUGAAGAUGGUGAUAAGUUGAGUUUGAUUAAACUUGCUAGGAUAAUUGAGGUUCCUGCAAAGAAAGGAACUCGUGAUCUCAAGCUCCAGGGCAAGCUGAUUGGCUGCCUGAUUCUAUAGGGAAGUUAUCUAGCCUGAUUCUUGGUAUAAUAUUUCACUAUUGCAAUUUUGUCAUGGUCCUUGAUUGCAAGGAAUUAUGGUGACAGCCACAGUUGUAAAAAUUGGGCUCAUGACAUAUUGGAUGCGGCUUAAUCGAAACUUGCUUUAUUUGUUAUUUGUGAAAUGUUUUCAGAAGAUUAAAACAUCCAGAUUUAUAAGAAUGACUUUUUUUGUUAAUUAAGGUUUUGGCCAUGGUGAAGAAGACACCUGCUUAUAAAAAUAAACUAAGGGUGUUGGAUGUUGAGCGCAGAGGUGAGAUAACAAAUUAUAUGUAAUAACAAAUCAAUAUUAUUGUUGUUCUCUUAAGAUGGUUAUGGAUAGCAGUUGCUUGAACACCAAGUAAUUUUAAAACUUUGGUUGCUGUUUGUGUUAUUUUUCUUUGUCAUUGGAACAUGAUUUUGUUGUUUCUUUUUGAAACCAGUGAGAUUAUUACUAACUGUUCUGGAUGAAUAUGGUUGCUGAUUUAGUGCUGUUACAACUGUUGCUUUUUGUUUAUGGUUCCUGAUUCAAAUGAUUGAGUAAAAGAGCUUAUACCCAAGUUUACAUGGUUUUCUGGCUUUCAUUCCAUUUGUGAAGAAUGUUUGAAUCUCUUGAGCAAAAACAGAAUAUGAGUGAACUGAUGUAAUGAAUUAUUUUUUCUUCAAUUUUUGUUUUAAAGCCAAUUGUUGGAGUUAGAUUCUGCAUGAUAAGGAUUCUGAAUGUUGUGUCUAAGGUGUUAAAAAUUGAUAUAGUUUGUUGAUACAAAAUUUGGGUGAAAGAUAGUGUUUGUCUCAGAAUGAGGUUAUAAUGAUAGUGUUUGAUACAAAAUUUGGGUGAAAGAUAGUGUUUGGGUGAAUCAUUGGCGUAAAAUGACCUGAAAUUCUAAUAUCCUGAUUCUCUGGUAUUCAUGUUCAGUAUAAUUUAUGAUGUUGUGAGGUCAUUCUCAAAGGUUUGGUUUUUCUAUGAAGUUGGAUGAAUGUUGGUAAAGUCAUGAUUAUUUUGGCUAAUUUUGAUAAUAAUGUUAAAAUUAUGAGAAAUUUGCUAUCAUUAGCUGGUUUGGAUUGAAUACAUCUUGAUAUGUUUUUUUUUAAUAGGUUUGGUUUGUGAAGUCAUACCAUUUAUAUAUCAUAUAUGUUUGAAUUGAUAAUUAACCCAAGGCAAAACUUUGAGACAUAUUUCUUAAACAUUGUUGAAUGAUAUUACUUUUUUACCACUCAUACUGAAAUUUUGUAAUUGAAAUAGCUGUAUAAAUUGUCUAUAACAGAUGACAGUUACCUAGACAAGUGGAUAUGACAUAAGUGAAGCAGUACCAUUUGUUGGAUGGGGUCCAAAGGGUGGAAAGCAGAUACAAUCUGCUGCUGGAACACUGACAUUCAACCGCAACAGCAUGUGUGGUAUGGAUUAUUACAUAGUAACUCAUUUUCAUACCUUAUUAUCUUUUUCUAAAAAUGAAUCUCAACAUAUAAUGCGGACAUUUUGUUAAUCUGUAGGUCAACCUGCACGAACCGUUGGCUGGCGUGAUCCUGGUUUUAUACAUACAAGUUUCCUUAAAGAACUUUGGCCAAAUAUGAGGUGUGCAUUGAACUAUAUUUGUUUAUGGCACUAUAAUUGAUUAGAAGAGUUCUGAAAAUUUCUUUUCUGACUCCUGAGGUGAAGAGUUUGAGGGAAGGAUUUGGUUUGAAGGGAUCAAGUAGCAGUUCUAACAGGGCAGUUUCGUCGUCGUCUCCUCCUACCGUGCAGCCGAGUAUGCGUCAUGUGCCACUUUAGCCGUAGUAGACUUCUAGGAAACAGAGGAGAUGCUCGUCACCGGAAUUGCACCGGAGAUUUGUUAAUGCGUUGCAGAAGUUUGGAGGUUCUCAAGGUAUCAAUUUGAAACUUUACUGUAUUUGUGAUGUAGCAUAUGUUUCACUUUCUUAAAUUAGAAAUGUACAUAUAUUUAAUAUCUUAUAUAGUUGUGCUGUGAGGUUUCAAAACACUCAAUUUUGACCAAUUUGGAAAUAUUAUAGAUUAGUAAAUCGAUGGAUGUGCCGAAACUGAAUGCCAUUGUUAAAAGUUUAAGGAUUUGAUGCUUGAAGUUGUGUUGAUGUGAAAUUUUAAAGAAAAUGUUUGUUCUGUUUAAUUAACCAGUGAAGUUAGGGAUUGCGUAAAUUUAGAUCAGCAAGGAAACAAAUAGGAGUGUUAUAUAUAGACAAGUCAAUUUGUAGGUUUAUUCCGAAUUCAAAUCUUGGCCGGAACAAUCCUUGAUCAGAUUAAUAACCUCCCAACCAAACUAUGGAUUAACAGGCCCUCCUUUCCAUAGGAAUCGGAAGGUUAAGACCAAAAAAUAUACAAGCCUAUCAAGUUCAAAUGAUUUGCCUUUGCAAUUUUGCAUAGUUCUCUCUAACUAGAUAUUCUAGCUGAUUUAUGAGCGUAUAAACAUCAUAACAAUAUCGGCAAAUGUAAAUUGUAAGAUAGUUAAGUAUAAUAGGUUCUGGGCUUCUGGAAUCUAAGCUAUCAUUUAUGUGAUCUCAGUAUCUUUUUUCUGGAGUAUUUCAGUGUUAUUCCUAAUGUGCAGGAGAUGUUUUUUAUGUAAACUGGGGCGAAGUACUUCCUGGAGCUACUGCAGUAGUCUCAACCCUCGGAGGUUUUGGUAGCGAGGAACAAAUGAGUAAGAUUAACGGCGAGGCUAAUGUUGUGGCUGUAAAUGCUGCAGAGGAGGUAUGUGAUGUCUUUGGCAUUUGACUCUAAUCUUUGUAAUUCUUUAUUGCACUUGCAGUUCAUAUUGGAUUACGUAACAAUAUUACUAUUAUUUUGAAUCUGUGUUUGUCUUAGGAUAUUGAAUUGACUUCAACUCUAUUGCAUCAAAUCCAGAAACAUAAAAGAUAUUGUGCCUUCAACUCAAGUGUUCAGAAAAUUUCAUUUAUAGCUCAUUCUUUAGGUGGCUUGAUAGCAAGGUAUGCAAUAGCCAAGCUUUAUGAGAGAGAUAUUUCUAAGGAACUAUCUCAGGGGAAUGUACAUUGUGAUAGUCAGAUUUCCAAUCAAGAAUGUCAUGUUAGAAAAUAUGAAGGAAAAAUUGCAGGAUUGGAGCCUAUUAAUUUUAUUACGUCUACAACGCCGCACCUUGGUUGUAGAGGGCAUAAGCAGCUAAUUCUUUUGGACAUGUAGUAUAUCAUGUUUUUUUUAUUAAAUUUUGUGUGAGUUGUCUGAUGACUUUACUGCAAAUAAUGUCAUUUCUGUCUCCUUUACUUUGGCUGAUUACACUGCUACAAGUGAUGGUUAUUGAGGGUAAUUAAAUAGGAGUUUGCAAGAUCAUGGUGUAAAAAAAUAGGUAUGUCAUACUAAUCUGUGUUGGUGAAAGCUUCAUGACAUGGUUUUGGAAUUUCACAUACUUUAGGUUCCUUUGUUAUGUGGAUUUCACUCUUUGGAGAAAACAACAUCUCGUCUUUCACGGUUUUUUGGUAAAAAUAUCAAAAUUAUUAGGCCGAACGCCGUGACCAAGGUUACAAGAUAGUUGAGGUAACAAUAAUAAAAUCCAAUGCAGUUUUAGUAUUUUAAAUAUAUAUUUGUGUUUCAAAAUCAUUUACUGAAGUGAAGAGACAUAAUCAUGUGUGCUAUGUUUUUUAAAAACAGUAUAUGCUACUCUUGCUACACAGUUUUCACAAAAUCAUGUAUGUAAUGUUUUUUAUUCUGUUUCUGAAGGUUUUGGGAGGCCUUCUUCAAUCCAGCAAAUGGUAAUUGCUCCUUUCUGUGAAGGUUUGGAUGUGAUUUUACAAUAUCCGGCCAAUGGAAAACAAUGAUUGAUGCAAGUAACAUUUAGCACGGAUCAUACAUGAUCAUAGGUGCACCGAUACCAAGAACAGUUAACACUGCAUUCAUUAACUUUAAACAACUAUCAAUCUUUAGAAAUAAGAAUUUUAGAAUUUUAGUUCAGCAUUCAACUUCUAUGUUUAUGUAUCUUUGUUUUUCAGAUUCUGGUAAACGAACAAUUUGAAGGCAAGUGCCAUACUCUUAUCAUUUACAGUUUUUCGGAUUUAUAUGCAUGUAAUAUGUAUGAUUUGAAUUAGUAUCCUUUACAACAAUAUUUUCCGAAAAAAGGUAAUUCAACCCGUGCGAAGCACGGGUUUGUAACUAGUUCUUUCCAAAAACUCAUUUGGUAAAAAAUUAUAAAGAAUAUCAUCCUCAUAUUCACCACUAUCAAGAUCAUCAAUAACACCAUGUUUAUUUGGUGGCCUUAAAACCCACAAAAAGUUUUGGCCACUCAAUUCCAAUCCAAAUGCAAGCUCAAGUAUUUGUUCACUAAAAAGUGUUCCACAACUUCCAAAUGAAACAUACAAAACAGAUUUUCUUUCUUGCUUGUCCAAAAAUUACAAGUAUUCAAGAUCACUUCCAUUAUCACAUGACACAUUUUGCACAAAAGGACCAAUUGGGUAAAUAGAAGGAAUUCCUUCAUCCUCUUUUUCUUGCAAGGCUCUUAUGGUUGUUUCUUCAAGCGCAAGAAAACUAUUAACCAUUAUACCAUCAGCUAAAUAAAAUCUAUCAUUAGCUUCAAGAAAAAUCUUGUACGCUUCGCUUGAUCGAUCAAGCAUAGGGUCCGGGAGAUCAGUACCAUGAAUCGGUAUGCAACCAGGAAUCUCUAAUGGUUCUAAUAGGUCUUUAUUUGCGGAAGAAAUUGUUUUGUCUAGACUUGAAGAAUGCAAACAAAGCGAUAGUAACAUGGUUGUGGAAGGAAAAUAUGAGUAGGCUAAAAUAUCGAGUUUCUUGGUUAAUCGUAACACUUCGUUUAUUAAACCAUCAGAAAUAACCGCGACAAGUUUUGAACUAGAAUGUAACGUGUCCAAUGCAUCAUAAAUCGAAGGAAUAGAACGGUGUAAAGUGGCUUCAACUUUGAGCGCAGGGUGAAUAUCUUUUGGUAAGUCUUCUAAAUUUAUCGGUGGAAGAAACAUGUAGUUUAUGUUUGAUGGAAGAGUUUCAAAGAGGGAUUUGACAUUGUUGCAAAUUGAAGAACUAAAUGUUGGGUUAAUGCAUGUGACAUGAAUGUUUUGGUUUAGAUGAACCAAUCUUUUGGUGAAUUCAAGAAUUGAACGUAGGUGGCUGUAUACAGGAACUGUAACUAAGGCUAUGUGAAUUUUGGUCUCCAUUUUUUGUUACUUAAUAUUUACUUUGUUAUGAAAAUAUUGAUGAAUUUAUAGGAAUCAAUAAAGGAGUUAUGUAUGUAUUAUAACUCUCUUUUGUUUUUUUAAUUGAAACUCUCGUUUUUUGGUUUGAAACCACUAAUACUUCAAUUCAUUCAUAAAAUUCAUAUUCAUAUUUAUUAUUUAACUUCAUAAACAAAAUUGAGGCGUUUCAAUAUCAAUAGAGUUGAAACCUCUUUGAAUCAAGAUAUUUUUGAAACCUCCUCUUAAAUCUCUAACAGAAGUAUCAAUUUUAUUAAUCAGCCAUUUGAUUUUUCUGAAACCAAAAAAAUCAAAGACGUUGACAAAGCUAAGAAACUAAAACAAAUAAAAUUAAUUCUGUGAAAUUAUAGAUAAAAAUAAUAGAAGAGAUUAGAAAUAAACUAUAAAUAAAUGCAAAUCAUGAUUUAUCAAGGAAUUGUGCUAGUGAUCUAUUUAAAAUUUAUACAUGAGAGAUGUAUAUGAAGAAUUAAACAAACUUGUUAUAUUUUUUUUCAAACCUCAUUUUUAUUUAUUGAUAAAUUUAGUAGAUGUGAUUUAUUUUUAGUAGAUGUGGAUAUAUGUGUAUGAUUAUAGAUCUUUGAAUGAGUUCAAGUCUCGGUCAACCCAACUAGGUUGACACAGAAAAAGUUAUGGUGCAUAAACACUUCACAACCAUUAGAUCAGGUGUACACGUAUAAUAAUCAUAAGCUUCUCAAACUACACCAAAUCAAACUUCAUUUGCUUCAAACAUUUCUCUCACUAAAACAAAAAGCUCUCCCUCUCUCUACAAUUAGGAGUCUUCAUCUCUUCAGGCCACACAUGAUGAUUCCGGCGUGGUGGCCGAUGGUGGCACCACCGCGUCGGAGUUCAAAACUCCGUCCAAAUCAAAAAGUUUUCACAAUUUUAGACAUCAUUUUUUGUGUUGAUUCCAAAUAUCGCCUUAAAUUUUUCAAAAAAACUCACACGAGCGUAGAUCUACGAGUAAAAAAACAGAACAAAAAGAGAAAAUGAAACUACCUCUUGUUCUUCACGGAUCCGUUUCGCGUUUCGGUCUUCUCCGAUCCGGUUCGGAUUUGUUGUUGUGUUGAAUUGUUGUUCUGAUCCGGUUCAAAUCUUGUUGUGGUAGGUUGUACGCACUCUCCCUCUACCUCUUCUAAACCGAUUUCGGGUUUAUUCGAAUUCGAGAGUGGUAGAUGAUGUUUAUGUGAUUUUCUAUGGUUUAGUGUUCAUGAGGUUCACAGUUUCAGAUUUGAAGUUGUUACUGGAUUCGAAAUCUUUGUGAUGUUAGAGGGAUUUAUGGCUGGGAAACUGCUGGAAACCAUUUAGUACAUGUAAUGGUUUUCCACAGUAUAAUGGUUUUGGCAUUCUGAUACGGUGAUGAUGAUGAACGACGGUGUUGAUGAUGAAAUUGAAGAUUCUGGAAACCAUUUCCACAGCAAAAUGGGUUUGGAGUACAACUCACAAAAACCAUUUCCACAACAAAAUGGUUUUGGCAUUCCGGUACAGUGAUGAUGAUGGUGAUGAUGAUGAACGACGGUGUUGAUGAUGAGAUUGAAGAUUCUGGAAACCAUUUCCACAGCAAAAUGGGUUUGGAGUACAACUCACAGAAACCAUUUUCACAACAAAAUGGUUUUGACAUUCCGGUACGGUGAUGAUGACGAUGAUGAGCGACGGUGUUGAUGAUGAGAUUGAAGAUUUCAGUGGUGAUGAUGAUGAACGACGGUGAUGAUUCAGUUUGGUUCGUUUUGUUUUGUUUUGUUUGGUUUCUUUUAGGGGGUGUAGGAAGUAAUUAUGUUGGGAUUUAUGCACGGUACAUAAGGAUUUCCUUAUGCACCAUAACCGCUCCCGGUUGACACCACUAAUCAACAAAGUAUACAAAACAAACGACAACAAAAACAACAAAGAGAACUCUCCAUGAGGAUCAACAUCAACAAAAUCUGAAUUAAGUAAAUCAUUAUCUUAUUACAUUUUAAAGAAUCUAAAAUGUACAGUGAAGUAUAAUCCAUUCAAAUCAGCUCAUUCUUCAGAAAGCCAACAAAAGCAAUUUUGUUACACAUGAGAAUCAUAUCAUAUCAUAAUAGGCUGAUUUGAUUCUCAUGGGUGACAAUUAACUUAUAUUCAACCAAAACAAAAACGUUCUAUUAGUAGGUAUUGUUUAUGUAAAAGAAUGUUCUCCUACAAGGAAAAAUCGUAUUUGUAAAGGGGGAGAGGGUGGAAUUGCUCAAUCAUGAAUCUAAAUUCACUCGCCGCAUCUUGCACACAAGGUUUGCUGUUGGCAGAUCAAGUUGGUUUGCUGAAUCUGUCUUCACAAGAUCUUUUAGCUGGUCUCUUGAGGUAGAUAGACAACUGUGAAAUGUAGCCAGAACUGCAGGGAUAGGCAUUGAUAGAGCGGAAAGCACGUUACUAAGAUAAUCAAUAUCAACUGAUAGCUGCUGCGCACCACGAUCUGUAAUGUACUGAACCCCACGCAACUGCUCUAUGUAAAGUGUUGUUGCACCCUCUGCAACCUGAAAUUUAAUAUAACCAGCAUUAUAUGUUAGAAUCAUAGUCACUAUAUAUGUGCAGAAAGAAAACAGAUUCAUGGUCUAAGUAGCAUAUGACAGUUUGAAUGAUUUUGAAUAAUCCAUUUUUCACAAACAAGCCCCUAUAAAUUACUCCCUUUGUUCCUUUUACUUGUCACUUUUGAAGAAAAAUUGUGUUCCUAUUUACUUUUCUUUUUCAAAGUUCAAUGCAACAUUAAUUAUUGUUUUGUCAAUAAAACUCUAUGUCAUUAAGUUAUACCUUGAACAUCCAUUCAGUUGCAAAGAACUGAGCUUCAUCAUUGGCUUCACUGCUAGAUACUCCCUCAGCAAGGGGCUCCAAUUGUUGGGGUAAAGUAAGAAGAUACUCACCAACACUGGUCACAUAGGACUGUGGAUAUGCACUAAAGGUAGGGAGACGAAAAGCAGUUUGUUCCUCAACAGACGACCAUAUUGACAAACGGGACACAUCACUGAGGCGUUGCCGUACUUUAGAUAUGAGGACAUCAUAUACAGUUCAUUAAUUGUGUCUUCAAAUGCUGCAACUCUUUGAGAUGCAAGGGGAAGAGCAUGGAAUCGGGGAUCUUUAGACUGCAAAUAAAUAAUUAAAUAUAUUUAUGUAAUGCCAGAAAAAAGAACACGAGAAUUAUGUCCGAAGAGAUAGACACAACACAAGUGCCAGCUCAUAAACCAAAAAAACAUCGAGGCAACCUUCUUUUCCUAGAAAUGAAUGAAUUGUGACAUAAAAUGACAUCCAUUGUUUCGGUUGAAAAAGAAUGGUCAAUUAAGCUUGAAAAUCGUGAGCAUACACUUUUUGAUGUGGCUUAAAUUUGCAUUAACCAUAUGAAGAUUACAGCAAAGAACUACGAAAGAAAAUGACAUUUUAAUUUUUCCAUUUCUUUUGAUGCUCAUAAACAUUUAGUUCUAUUUAAAUGAAACAAAAGAAUAAAUGCUUUUCAACUCCUACUCAAGGGCUAGAAGCAUAAAAACAGCUCCACAGGAGUCUUGCAUAUUUGAUUUUCUCGAAUCAUAAUAUGUGAAUACUUAACUCCAUAUUUUUAAAGUUUUAAGGUACUAUUAUCCAAUAAAAAAAAAUAGGUACUUCCCAAUCCAAAUAUUUAGACUAAUCCACUAUCCCUUCUAUCAAUUUCUAAACUCAUAAAAAAAAGACUGCAAUAAAGCUAAUCUUACAUAUACCUGAUUCAAAAGGCUGAAUAGUUUCCUGGCUUUCUCGGGCACAUUAACCAGCUGCAGUGUUGCCAUGUCCAAGGCCCUUCCACCAAAAGAUGGCUCCUCAUAUUCAUUACCAUGUAUAAUCUGGUUUUGAUCUAGACUUGAACCAAAUGCUGAAAAAGAUAAAGUUGUGCUUAAUCUAGCAAGAGUAGCUCUUAAAGAUGCUUCAAAGACAGAAGAUCUGCUUUUCAAACUAUCUGCAACCGUAAGGAUCUGCAGUGCCCCUUGGACCAUGGACCAUUCCUCCUCAUUUGAGAUCAAAUCAACUCUUCGAGCAUUUUGGUUUUCAUCUUUCUUUCCAGCACCAUCCCCACCAUAAUCCACACCACAGACAGUUCUUAAUGAAUUGAGAGUUUCUUGUAGAUUAGAAAUGUAUUUUAACAUUAUGUCAUCAAGGGCAAGAAUCAGUUCAUCUGCCUCGGAACCUCCAGUGAAGUUGAUGCAUCUCUUGGCAGCUGCUUCAAGAAGUAUAACGACUUGAGGAAUAGAUUCCUCCAUCCUACGAACGGUUUCACUAACUUCGACUCCUUGGGCUCCCACCCCUCGAAUUACAGCUCCUCUUAAAUCUAUUGCUUCAAUCUCAGAGGAAAGGAUGGCGCGCUCCAUUUGUCCGUACCUGUAGAUAUCCAAAAUGAAAAUAAUAAAGCAAAAGGUGUUUCUUUGAAUUGGAAAGUGGUUUAAUGCAAGCUUAAAUACGAGAAUAUUGUGCAUGAGUCAUGACAACCAUAAGACCAGCUGUUUAUUGAAAUUAUGUUUCUAUUUCCCUAAAUUUAUUUUUCUAAUUGUUUAGAAAGAAAAUUGUGACAUACUAUAUGAAGUUAAAGCUCAUUCCCGAGGACCCAUCCAAUUUUUCGACAAUACAGAGGCCAUAUGUCAAAAGGAAUUAACAGACAAACUCGAUAUAUCAAUUUCAAUUAUGCUUCAAAUUUUACCUCUGUUUAAACGAUUCAUAUGGUAAGUACACAGAUUUCAGCACAUCCGUUAAAACUUGUACAUCAGAACCAGAAAACAAGUGCUGAAUAUUCCUUGCAAAGGUCCCCGUGAUAUUUUAUCUGAUGAACAACCUUUAGCCAACGCUUUCGUUUCUGGAACAGCAUCCCCAAUGGCAAGGUUGAUAUGAGAAAUGAAACUGGCACCUAUAGCCAUCAUAGUCUCACUUAGCAACUUUGGGACAAGAGUUUUAUAGUCUUCGGGAAAAGCAACCAUACACCUGCAAGCAACAGCUCAAAUGCUUUUAUUACACUACUUGAAUAUGCAAAUUUAGUUAAUAUCAUUUUGUGCUAGCUGAUUAUUUUUCAGUAGGUUGAUCUAGAAAAUUAAAAUCCACUGACAUCAAGUUUUGGAGUACAGAGUUGUUGAUAAGGCAACCCAUUUUUGGACAAACAAAAUAUAAACAAUAGAAGAGAACACCAGUAAUUAUACCAUUUCCAUUCUUGUUCAAGAUAAAGUAGUAGCUCGUCAUAAAAGCUUGGUAACCAAUUGGAGAAUGAAACUGUAGGCGACGACUGAAAAUCACCACCAGUUGACAUCGUCUCCAUUUCACUCUUCUCAUUUGCAGACUUAUUAGCACGUUCUCUUGAUUCUAAAUCUUCCCAAAGCUGCUUUAUUGGUUUCAAAUGUACCUUCGAAUACUGUGAUUCC
rnacentral:lncRNA from 1 species